AAACAAGUAUUAAAGGUCCCGCCUGCCCAGUGAAACAUUUAAACGGCCGCGGUAUUCUAACCGUGCAAAGGUAGCGUAAUCACUUGUCUUCUAAAUAAAGACUAGUAUGAACGGCUAAAUGAGGACAAAACUGUCUCUUACAGCUAAUCAGUGAAACUGAUCUUCCAGUACAAAAGCUGGGAUAAACCCAUAAGACGAGAAGACCCUGUGGAGCUUAAAACCUACUGCUAAUAUACACCAAUAGUUGUACCUAGCCGAAGGUUUUGAGUUGGGGCGACUUCGGAAUAAAACAAAACCUCCGAGCACAGAACCACCACUUCUUACCAAGGCCAACAAGCCAAAGAAACCCCCGACCCAGUCAUACUGAUCAACGAACCAAGUUACCCCAGGGAUAACAGCGCUAUCUUCUUCAAGAGUCCCUAUCGACAAGAAGGUUUACGACCUCGAUGUUGGAUCAGGACACCCAAAUGGUGCAGCCGCUAUUAAAGGUUCGUUUGUUCAACGAUUCAUAG
rnacentral:rRNA from 1 species